GUGUGGGCUCCUCCAUUGUUCUCCCCUCCCUACACCACUGAGAUUGCAGCCUGUCUAUUCUGGAAGAUGAGCUACACGUCUAUUCUGAGCCUGAGCAAAAUGUCUGACCAGCCUCAGAGCAAGCCCGCCAGUUACUGAUGAGCCUAGCGGUUCCCAUGUAAAACACCACACUGUACUUACAACAGCAUGGUCGAAACACCUUUUCUCUCUGGAAACACACGCGAGGACAAGGAACGUGUAAGUUGCAUGACCCUAAAGCGGAUGUACCAGCGGGCUGAGAGACAGAUCCACAGAUCUGUGGAGGUCCUGCUCUCCGAACCUGCUGCAGAAGUGGACCUGAGCAGUGCAGCCUCCGUGAAAGGGCUCAGUUCAGAUCUCCUCCUAUGAGGAGCAUGACUGCAAGUUCCAGCCGUUUCCUCUGUGCAUCCAUUACUGUGUUUGUGCGGGGACGAGGCUUCCCAUGCCGAUGACUGAGCAUGGCAAGCCCAGUAAGACAGGUAUUGGAGCUGCAUCAUGGUCUGAAGGCUUCCCUCACCUUCGUUUGCAUCCUCUCCAAUAAACCUCUUGCUUAUCUAAUUCUGUCUUA